rfam:Schistosoma haematobium scaffold384_7, whole genome shotgun sequence.
GCACUGUUGAGGAGUCCCUCGAUAGGACGAAACGGCCGUCCAGUGC